CCCUUAGAUGUUCUGGGCCGCACGCGCGCUACACUGAUGCAUUCAACAAGCCUAGCCUUGACCGAGAGGUCCGGGUAAUCUUUGAAACUGCAUCGUGAUGGGGCUAGAUUAUUGCAAUUAUUAAUCUUCAACGAGGAAUGCCUAGUAAGCGUGAUUCAUCAAAUCGCGUUGAUUACGUCCCUGCCCUUUGUACACACCGCCCGUCGCUCCUACCGAUUGAAUGUUUCGGUGAAGAUUCCGGAUAGGACUUUUUUGAUUUAUUUCAAUUUUGUCUUAAAAGCUAUCUAAACCUCAACAUUUAGAGGAAGGUGAAGUCGUAACA
rnacentral:rRNA from 1 species